rnacentral:rRNA from 1 species
UGCGUACCUUUUGUAUAAUGGGUCAGCGACUUAUAUUCUGUAGCAAGGUUAACCGAAUAGGGGAGCCGAAGGGAAACCGAGUCUUAACCGGGCGUUAAGUUGCAGGGUAUAGACCCGAAACCCGGUGAUCUAGCCAUGGGCAGGUUGAAGGUUGGGUAACACUAACUGGAGGACCGAACCGACUAAUGUUGAAAAAUUAGCGGAUGACUUGUGGCUGGGGGUGAAAGGCCAAUCAAACCGGGAGAUAGCUGGUUCUCCCCGAAAGCUAUUUAGGUAGCGCCUCGUGAAUUCAUCUCCGGGGGUAGAGCACUGUUUCGGCAAGGGGGUCAUCCCGACUUACCAACCCGAUGCAAACUGCGAAUACCGGAGAAUGUUAUCACGGGAGACACACGGCGGGUGCUAACGUCCGUCGUGAAGAGGGAAACAACCCAGACCGCCAGCUAAGGUCCCAAAGUCAUGGUUAAGUGGGAAACGAUGUGGGAAGGCCCAGACAGCCAGGAUGUUGGCUUAGAAGCAGCCAUCAUUUAAAGAAAGCGUAAUAGCUCACUGGUCGAGUCGGCCUGCGCGGAAGAUGUAACGGGGCUAAACCAUGCACCGAAGCUGCGGCAGCGACACUGUGUGUUGUUGGGUAGGGGAGCGU